rnacentral:piRNA from 1 species
UGUACGGUGCAUAUCGAAUAAAAUGGAGGA